rnacentral:rRNA from 1 species
UGGGGAAUAUUGGACAAUGGGCGAAAGCCUGAUCCAGCCAUGCCGCGUGUGUGAAGAAGGUCUUCGGAUUGUAAAGCACUUUAAGUUGGGAGGAAGGGCAGUAAACGAAUACCUUGCUGUUUUGACGUUACCGACAGAAUAAGCACCGGCUAACUCUGUGCCAGCAGCCGCGGUAAUACAGAGGGUGCAAGCGUUAAUCGGAAUUACUGGGCGUAAAGCGCGCGUAGGUGGUUCGUUAAGUUGAAUGUGAAAGCCCCGGGCUCAACCUGGGAACUGCAUCCAAAACUGGCGAGCUAGAGUAGGGCAGAGGGUGGUGGAAUUUCCUGUGUAGCGGUGAGAUGCGUAGAUAUAGGAAGGAACACCAGUGGCGAAGGCGACCACCUGGGCUCAUACUGACACUGAGGUGCGAAAGCGUGGGGAGCAAACAGG